UAUAUAAAAGAAAGACGAUUAGACCCUAUUGAACUUAACUGUAGUUAAACUGGGSCAGUAAAUUAAUUAUUAUUUUAAUAAAAUAUUAUACAUAAAUAUCUAAUAAAAUUAAAUAAUUAAGUUACCAUAGGGAUAACAGCGUAAUAAUUUUCUAAAGAUCUUAUUUAAAAUAUAGAUUACGACCUCGAUGUUGAAUUAAUAACCUAAUUAAGGCAAAACUUAAAAAAGGAAGUCUGUUCGACUUUUAAAAAAUUACAUGAUUUGAGUUCAGACCGGUGUAAGCCAGGUCGGUUUCUAUCUUCUAAAAAAUUUUUUACAGUACGAAAGGACCUAAAA
rnacentral:rRNA from 1 species